rnacentral:rRNA from 1 species
UACGUAGGGGGCAAGCGUUGUCCGGAAUUAUUGGGCGUAAAGCGCGCGCAGGCGGCUAUUUAAGUCUGAUGUUUAAUCCCGGAGCUCAACUCCGGAUCGCAUUGGAAACUGGGUAGCUUGAGUGCAGAAGAGGAAAGUGGAAUUCCACGUGUAGCGGUGAAAUGCGUAGAGAUGUGGAGGAACACCAGUGGCGAAGGCGACUUUCUGGGCUGUAACUGACGCUGAGGCGCGAAAGCGUGGGGAGCGAACAGG